AGUUUUGCACAGUGGCAGUAUGAUAGCCGAUGAAGUUUAUCUGAGGCAUGAUUACUGCUAAUUGAGAAACAUUAAUUCAACCA
rnacentral:snRNA from 1 species